GUGAAUCAUCAAAUUUUUGAACGCAAAUUGCACUCUCCGGUUUUCCGGGAGAGUAUGCCUGUUUGAGGGUCAGCCUAAAAAAAAUCGACGUUGUUGCUGUUAUUUAAGGGUGAGUUUCGUCGUAGAUUGGUUUAUCUUAAACCUUUUUUUUUUUUUGUUUAAGCUACUUUUAAUUUUUCUUCAUUAAUUCAUUUACGUUUCUAAUAUUUUUAUUUCUUAUACGUUUAAGCUUUAUCGAUCUUUUAUUAGAUGUUAUCUUCUCAUCAUAUCGCG
rnacentral:misc_RNA from 1 species